rnacentral:sRNA from 1 species
AUUCUGUAGAGAUGAUAACGUUAAUAAUGGUUUUUGUGUAAUUACGCAUGUCAAGUACACGGAUUCAAAUGCUAUUAAAGGGAGUGUUUUAAAAGAUAUCCUGUUUUUACUGUCAGAUACAAUAAUAGUUGUGUAAUUGAGUGUUUAAAUGACAAACCGUACAUUUUUAACGGCGAGUGUGUUAGCCAGUGUCCCAAAGAUUACCUUUUAGACAAAGGAGUUUGUCAGCUGACAUGCUCAUACGGCCAGUUUCUUUUUAAUAAAACUUGUGUUGAUAAGUGCCCAGGAAGAAUGGAGUUUGUCGAUGACCACUUAUGUGUUUCAGAAUGUCCAACUCAAAAGGUUAUUCAGGAUAAAAGGUGUGUGGAUAAUUGUUCGGAGCAGUUUGUUCUCAAUGGAAGAUCGUGUACUACAAAGUGUCCCUUGGGUCUCUUUGAACACAAUAAAACACCCGUUAAAACUUGUCCGAACGGCACAUUUAAAGAAUACAAAAAAUGUGUGAAUAACUGCUCCAGUGGAUUCUAUAGAUAUGAAUCACAUUGUGUUAAAACAUGUCCUCACGACAAUUUCAUAAAUGAAUCAAAUAAGCUAUGUGUCAACAAGUGCGAGGGUCUUAAAUAUUAUCAACAGAAAAAUAUGUUCUGUUUGAAUGCCUGUCCCGAAAAAAUGGUCGAACUUAAUUCGACAUGCGUAUCUCAUUGUCCCAAAAGUCGACCAUUUUUACACAAGAUGUCAUGUCUUGCAGAAUGCCCGGUUUCGUCCAAGUAUUUUAAACAGAAAAAAGAACCAGACAACAUCAUCACUUAUACUUGUGUGGAAAAAUGCAAAAAAUACACAUUGGCAAUCAGCAACAUGUGCACUGAUGCCUGCUUUUCAAAGAAGGUUUUGUUCCAGGGGACUUGUCAAGAAGAGUGUCAAGAUUCUGAUCCUGUGAAAGUACAUUUGCCUGCAACACAUGUAAACGAGCUCAAUUUGACAACGUUUGUAAAUUUAACAAAGCCGAUAAAUGCAUUUGUGAUCUGUGCGAAAGAAUGUCCAUCAGAUUUUGUUCGAGACAAUGGCGAAUGCUAUGUUGAAUGCCCCAUGGCCGAGAAAACAAACGACUCCCAGUUGAUGGUGAAUGUAUGGCAUGCCAUGAAGUCGGAAAAUAUGACGAUGGAUCAAAAUGUGUUGAUAUAUGUCAGAAUCUUCAUCACGAGUAUCGCUGUGUUGAUAAUUGUCCUAAACAAUUUAAAAUAUUCAACGAAACAUGCGUUCGCUAUUGCCCCAAAAUAGCACCUUUUAGCACUUCGAUCCAUGAUUACAAUACAAACAUUAUUUAAUAUAGGUGUGUUAAAAGUUGUCAUAAGGACAACCCAUACCUCAACAAAAACAACUGUGUAGGAUGGUGUGAAGAUGACUACUUUAUUUCAUACAAAACGUGUGUGAAAAAAUGUCCAGUAGGCGUCCCCUAUAUCUCAACCAACUAUGUUAAAGAUAAAUUAAAUAAAGAUUGUUUAAAACACUGCAAGGAUUCAGAUUAUUCACUGAAUUUUUCAUGCAUGUGAAAAUGUCCAAAAGGACUCUUUAGUCAUAAAAGACAGUGCCACCACAAAUGCCCAAAUGAUUUUCCGUAUACCAGUCAAGAUAACACAUGUGUUAAGAGCUUUACUACUCUUCGCCGAGAUACGAGGUGCUUCGACAAGUGUCCAAGUAAAACAUUUCAAUAUAAUGGAACCUGUGUGCAGAAAUGUCCUUUCAGUAAACCGUAUAAUAACAAAGGAAAAUG